GUCACGCAUCACAGCUGCCGUCAGUCCCACGCCAGAGGAUCCUCUGCCCGUUGUAUACUGGCCUGGAGGGGGUCAGGGAGGAUUCUUUUCGACGACACCAUUCACACAGUUCAGUCACUCAGCCCUAUCCAGUGGACAUGAUGCUCUCAAGGUCCUGCACUACCGCCUCCUACAAUACCCUGAUGAGAAGCAAUAAUCCUGGCCCCAUGACUUUCCCUCACAGAUGUUCUGUAGACUGGUAGAUGGCACCUGCAGACCUGUUUGAGGGACAACUGGACAGAACAUAUCAGAAUUCUUGGAUUUCAGCUGAGAUCCUCCUCUCCUUUCCCCGUCCUUCAAGGAAAGCCCAUUCUCUACACUUCCUGUUAGGCAUGAUGCUCAAAGUGUCUCUCCAUUUCUCCCAUGUCAUGUGUGAAGCUGCCCGGCCAGAGCUACCAAAUACAGAAAGGUAUUGACCCCUAGACACUUUCAAAUUGUUUGCCUGUGAAUGGUUGCCAACCUCAUCAAGCUAUUUGCUUGUUACCUGUGUGUUUAAAAUAAUGCGUCCCUCUCACAGAACCUUAAUUACAUCUAUUCACUACUGGCCAAAUGCAGUCACCAUCCACUUCAGCUAGCAUUUCCUGUUUUCAUGCCUGUUUUACAAUUUCUUUGGAUGAAGUGUCAAAAAUGUGACAGGCAUUAUUAUAUUAUUAUUAUUAUGCUUAUGUAUGUGUUGGUACUGUAUGUACAAAAAGGUAUCCAAUAUCCUUAAAAUCUGACAUGGGUAGAAGUUACUAACAUUAAUCCUGCAUUAAAUCUCAUAUGGAUGAAUUGUAGUGUAUAGAAUAACCAGUGUUGUACAAUUUGUAAUCCACUAGAUGGCAGUAAUGUCCCACCACCUUCAAAUAAGUCUGUUUUUCUGUUCACCCUUCAAGUACUGAGCAAAUGUCAAAAUUAAUGAAAUUCCCUGAAUUUGCAUUGCGAAUGUUGCUUUGAUGGUUACUAGAUAUGACACAUGCAAAGUUCAAGUGUCAUACAAAGUGGGUAAUGCUGAGCCCCCAACUCCUGUCUGUCACUUAAUCCAUUAAAUAUCUUAAACAUA